rnacentral:tRNA from 1 species
GGUGCUGUGGCAAAAUGGUAUUGCCUUUGCCUUAAAAGCAAAAAGAGCUCUGAGACAGCUCCA